GCUGUCACUUAUAGAUGGAUCCGCGCUGCAUUAGCUAGUUGGUAAGGUAACGGCUUACCAAGGCAACGAUGCAUAGCCGACCUGAGAGGGUGAUCGGCCACACUGGAACUGAGACACGGUCCAGACUCCUACGGGAGGCAGCAGUAGGGAAUCUUCCGCAAUGGGCGAAAGCCUGACGGAGCAACGCCGCGUGAGUGAUGAAGGUCUUCGGAUCGUAAAACUCUGUUAUUAGGGAAGAACAUAUGUGUAAGUAACUGUGCACAUCUUGACGGUACCUAAUCAGAAAGCCACGGCUAACUACGUGCCAGCAGCCGCGGUAAUACGUAGGUGGCAAGCGUUAUCCGGAAUUAUUGGGCGUAAAGCGCGCGUAGGCGGUUUUUUAAGUCUGAUGUGAAAGCCCACGGCUCAACCGUGGAGGGUCAUUGGAAACUGGAAAACUUGAGUGCAGAAGAGGAAAGUGGAAUUCCAUGUGUAGCGGUGAAAUGCGCAGAGAUAUGGAGGAACACCAGUGGCGAAGGCGACUUUCUGGUCUGUAACUGACGCUGAUGUGCGAAAGCGUGGGGAUCAAACAGGAUUAGAUACCCUGGUAGUCCACGCCGUAAACGAUGAGUGCUAAGUGUUAGGGGGUUUCCGCCCCUUAGUGCUGCAGCUAACGCAUUAAGCACUCCGCCUGGGGAGUACGACCGCAAGG
rnacentral:rRNA from 1 species